rnacentral:rRNA from 1 species
CCUACGGGUGGCAGCAGUGAGGAAUAUUGGUCAAUGGGCUUACGCCUGAACCAGCCAAGUCGCGUGAGGGAAGACUGCCCUAUGGGUUGUAAACCUCUUUUGUCAGGGAGCAACGCCGGCUACGUGUAGCCGGACUGAGAGUAUCUGAAGAAAAAGCAUCGGCGAACUCCGUGCCAGCAGCCGCGGUAAUACGGAGGAUGCGAGCGUUAUCCGGAUUUAUUGGGUUUAAAGGGUGCGUAGGCGGAAUGCCAAGUCAGCGGUAAAGUCGCGGGGCUCAACCUCGCGCCGCAGUUGAAACUGGGGUUCUUGAGUGGGCGAGAGGUAUGCGGAAUGCGAGGUGUAGCGGUGAAAUGCAUAGAUAUCACGCAGAACUCCGAUUGCGAAGGCAGCAUACCGGCGCCCAACUGACGCUGAAGCACGAAAGCGUGGGUAUCGAACAGGAUUAGAUACCCCGGUAGUC